rnacentral:lncRNA from 1 species
UAAGGAGAUCAAGGACCUCAAAUCCUUCCGAUGUGGGACAACUCAACACCCCCCUCACGUCCAGAUCUCUGGAGCGUGGACAACAUAAAUGGGGGCCUAACAUCGGUAACAAUAAUUGGGAUGUGCCUGGCUCUGAUACCAUGAUAAGAAUGGACCUUGAGCCUAACUCAACCCCAAAAGCUAGCUUAUGAGGUGAGGAUUGCCUAAACCAUAUAAGGAGACCAAGUACCUCAAAUCCCUCC